rnacentral:rRNA from 1 species
UGGGGGAUAUUGCACAAUGGGCGCAAGCCUGAUGCAGCGACGCCGCGUGGGGGAUGAAGGCCUUCGGGUUGUAAACUUCUUUUGCUCUGAACAAGGCGCACUUUGGGGUGUGUUGAGUGUAGGGGUUGAUUAGCGCCGGCUAACUACGUGCCAGCAGCCGCGGUAAUACGUAGGGCGCGAGCGUUGUCCGGAAUUAUUGGUCGUAAAGGGCUUGUAGGUGGCUGGUUGCGUCUGUCGUGAAAGCUCAUGGCUUAACUGUGGGUUUGCGGUGGGUACGGGCUGGCUUGAGUGCAGUAGGGGAGGCUGGAAUUCCUGGUGUAGCGGUGGAAUGCGCAGAUAUCAGGAGGAAUACCGGUGGCGAAGGCGGGUCUCUAGGCUGUUACUGACACUGAGGAGCGAAAGCAUGGGGAGCGAACAGG